rnacentral:rRNA from 1 species
GCAGAUCAGCAUGCUGCGGUGAAUACGUUCCCGGGCCUUGUACACACCGCCCGUCACACCAUGGGAGUCGGUAACACCCGAAGCCUGUAGUCUGACCUUUUGGAGGACGCAGUCGAAGGUGGGAUGAUGACUGGGGUGAAGUCGUAACAAGGUAGC